AGAGUUUGAUCCUGGCUCAGGACGAACGCUGGCGGCGCGCCUAACACAUGCAAGUCGAACGAGCGAGAGAGAGCUUGCUUUCUCGAGCGAGUGGCGAACGGGUGAGUAACGCGUGAGGAACCUGCCUCAAAGAGGGGGACAACAGUUGGAAACGACUGCUAAUACCGCAUAAGCCCACAGGUCGGCAUCGACCAGAGGGAAAAGGAGCAAUCCGCUUUGAGAUGGCCUCGCGUCCGAUUAGCUAGUUGGUGAGGUAACGGCCCACCAAGGCAACGAUCGGUAGCCGGACUGAGAGGUUGAACGGCCACAUUGGGACUGAGACACGGCCCAGACUCCUACGGGAGGCAGCAGUGGGGAAUAUUGCACAAUGGGGGAAACCCUGAUGCAGCGACGCCGCGUGGAGGAAGAAGGUUUUCGGAUUGUAAACUCCUGUCGUUAGGGACGAUAAUGACGGUACCUAACAAGAAAGCACCGGCUAACUACGUGCCAGCAGCCGCGGUAAAACGUAGGGUGCAAGCGUUGUCCGGAAUUACUGGGUGUAAAGGGAGCGCAGGCGGGAAGACAAGUUGGAAGUGAAAUCUAUGGGCUCAACCCAUAAACUGCUUUCAAAACUGUUUUUCUUGAGUAGUGCAGAGGUAGGUGGAAUUCCCGGUGUAGCGGUGGAAUGCGUAGAUAUCGGGAGGAACACCAGUGGCGAAGGCGGCCUACUGGGCACCAACUGACGCUGAGGCUCGAAAGCAUGGGUAGCAAACAGGAUUAGAUACCCUGGUAGUCCAUGCCGUAAACGAUGAUUACUAGGUGUUGGAGGAUUGACCCCUUCAGUGCCGCAGUUAACACAAUAAGUAAUCCACCUGGGGAGUACGACCGCAAGGUUGAAACUCAAAGGAAUUGACGGGGGCCCGCACAAGCAGUGGAGUAUGUGGUUUAAUUCGA
rnacentral:rRNA from 1 species